GGGGUGUUACUAUUGGACCCACGCGGCGGCCCGCUCCUCCCCCAGGCUCUCGCCGCAGAGCCCCACCCGCAGCCGCAGGUUCGGACCCAGCCGCCUGCGGUCGGCCGCACGCACACCACCCGCGAGCCGGCCUCACCCUGAUCGCGUCUACGAGGAGAAGCUGCGAAAAUCCCGCCGGCCCCCCGGGAUCUGCCUACACUUGUUCACAUCCACGUACUGUCAUUUACUGGCCGUCACUCCAAGCUGGGACCUCACACACACCCAUUGCCCCUGAGGGCACCAUCGGAAGGCUAAUUAUUUUUUAAGUAGAAAUGUCCAGGAUGGUUUGGGCCGGGAGGAGGAUUAUUCAAACAUUAAUUAGAAGAUGGAGAUUCAUCAGGUAACAUUCAGGGAGUGAACACGUCGAACAACGGGACAAUGAAACCUGCUAAGCUGUACCCAGAAUCUGCUGUGGAUAAACUAGCUAGAAAGGAGCAAUGCGCACAUAGGCUAUGUCAAGCCUUUCUGCCAGUCAGUCCUGCAUGCUUUCUCAGAAGCCAGCGGCCUCCCUAACACUUCCUUCACCCUGGGCUUACAGCAGUGGAUUUCAAAGAAAAUCAUCCUGAAACAUGCUGUUACCUGCACAAGCUAAGAUAAAUGGAUCCUCAUCCUGCUGUUUCUCCUGGCUUCAGAAUGCUCAGCUUCCUGACUUCUUUCUGACCUACUUAUAGAUGAUACAAAGAUCUUCACUGCAUUUGCAUUUCUCUCCAGAAAGUCACCUGACUGCCAGUAUAGUCAUGCUCAUGAAUGCCUAGUGGCUCGGAAAAGCCUCUGUACGAACCUGUGGGAUAAAUAUUCAGAAAGGCAUUCUUAGAGCAGUUGGCAAUGCUAUUGUGGAAUUUGUGAAGCAAUAAGAUAACAAGAUCACGAGGCCCUUCCUCUCAACCAAGCAGAUCUAUUUACUGUACUAUUAUUUUUCAUAGGAAAAUAACAUCAUGAAAGGAU